rnacentral:rRNA from 1 species
GACGAACGCUGGCGGCGUGCAUAAUACAUGCAAGUAGAACGCAGUUGCGAACGGGUGAGUAACGCGUAGGUAACCUGCCUCAUAGCGGGGGAUAACUAUGGGGAACGAUAGCUAAUACCGCAUAAUGUGAGAUGGAACUGCGUUGUAUUAUCUAGUUGGUGAGGUAAAGGCUCAACACGGCGACGAUACAUAGCCGACCUGAGAGGGGUAUCGGCCUCACCGUGACUUAUACACGCCCCAGACUCCUUCGGGAGGCAGCAGAAGGGAAGCUUCGGCAAUGGACGGAAGUCUGACCGAGCAACGCCGCGUGAGUGAAGAAGGUUUUCGGAUCGUAAAGCUCUGUUGUUAGAGAAGCGGUAACUAACCGGAAAGGGACGGCGAACUGCGUGCCAGCAGGCGCGGUAAUUC